rnacentral:misc_RNA from 1 species
GUGACUUUCAGGACAAAGAUACAUCUAAAGACAUGACGUUGGAUCAGGAUGCAAAUGCUGAUUCAACAAAUUCACAAAGUGCAGAACAGCUUUUGUCAUGUUCUAUUAUUCUGCACAUUCCUGUGCUGAAAGAGAUGAUCUGUUCAGAUGUUUGUGUUGAAUUUAAAUCUCCAAAUGGAUAUUCUGCUAACACCACUUUGUGUCAUCUUUUUGAAGAAAUCUGGCGCAGUGGUUUUGUGUUGGUGCCUGCUGAUACUCCUUGCCUAGAAUACCGUUGUAAAUUUAAGGUUUUGAAACUGGGUUUCUGGAGAACAAGUACCGAAAUAUUACAAGAUUACUCCUGGAAAGAGGUUAAGAUUACCCCAGUGAUUCGUGACUUUUUUAUUAUUAAAGGAAUUGAUAGUUUUGAAAAGGGUCUUGUACAACAUUUUAGGCAUCAACUUGCAGUAGUUAAUGCAGACAAUUUAAAAAUUAUUAUAAUGGAAAUAGAUGAUCUUAUUUCACUGUCAAAACAUUACAUGGAACAUGCCAGGAUGUUGGACAACAGAAGACUGUUGUGUACUUUGGAACAAUACAUAACAGAAAAACAGUCACAUAUCAACAGGGAGACAUUCAUUCUCUUUGGGUAUAUUUGUGCUCAGUUGUGUAGUGGUUCUAGAAGAAAGAAAAUGGAUGACGUGAAAACUAUCUCAAAGCAAACAUCAACAGCAAUACUUAAAGGUUUGCAGACACUUCCACAAAAUGCACUUCCUGUAGGAUCUCUAAAAUGUUUUGAAAACAUUGUUUCAGAUUUGUGCUUAAUUGUAUUUCCAAACAAAUCAAGCCUCAUUGUGCAUUUGUUAGAAUUUUGUUAUCCUGUGUUAUCAUCUACCUUUGUAAUGAGUAAUUUUGAUAAUUUAGGACAGUUGGAGUUUUCUUGUGAUUUAAAAAUGUGUGAAUGGAUUUGUAACAAGAUUCUUGAACAGGAAAAAGCUGGAGAUAAAGAUGCUUCAAUUCUUCUUCAGAAAUUUCUGCAACAUGCUCCAAUUUCUAGCACUAUCGACAUAGUCCAAUCUAUGGUUUUGCAUACACCCACAAACCAGCAGGUACUGCUGGAUCUUCUCCGAUCACGAAUUGUAGCUCAAAGUAAAAAGUCAGCAAAGGAAAAGAAUUUUGAUGCAUUGCUUAAACUGGUAAAUGAUCUAACUUCAAGUCAUGAAGACAUUGUGUCUGUAGUGUCAGAAAUCCUUACAAAAACUGUCAUAAGUAUGGUAAAAGGAUUGCGUAAAUCUGACUCUGCUGAUUUCCCUCAAGUCUUGAAGCUAAUGGAUUCUCAAAUACUUUUCACAUCACAAGAAUCUUGCGAAGAAAUAUAUGGGGUAAUGGUUGCCUCAGAAAAUAAAUAUAUACACACUUUAUAUUUGAAAUUACUUGAUUCUGAACAAAUGAGGAGUGCAGUUGAUCAAAAGAUGUAUAAGUGGGUGAUGAAAUGGUUUGAAACGGCAAUCAACCAUCAUUGCUAUGAGAACCGGCACAACGAUAAAUGUGAUGACCUUCCACAUGUUUACAAACACCUGAAUCUUCUGCUCAGUAAACCAUCAGUUUUAAAGAGAGACAAACUGGUUACUGAUUUGAAAGAAGAAGCAUAUAAGUUCCUUAAUUACAUUCCAUUGAAACUGUUGAUGCAAAACCUGUGCUUUAAAAGUUGGUUUGAUAGCAAUGACUUGCCAGAAAGCUUUGGUCCACAUCUAAUUAGAAGAUUAUCAGUCAGCUCUGAUGGAAAGAAUACUGCUCUCACUACUAUUGGAACAUCUUCAGAAUUUCAAGAUACAUGUAAUGAUGAAGAAAGCAAAGGCGUCUUGCCGUAUCAGUUCAAGCCUGAAUAUGAUGGUGAUGAUCCGGAGAUAGAUAUGAGAUUAUGACUGUAAAGAUCAUAUCUGAUGAGUUGGAAAAAGCCAAGAACGAACGUCUUCAAGACUUGAGUAGUUGGAAUAAAUGUGGAUAUACAGCCUGUGAAUGUAUAUGUAUGUUGCCAGAACAUAUGAUGGAUGCUAUAAAGUAUUGUGCUAAAUUGACUGGCUUAUCGAGUAGAUUAUGACAUCAAUCUGGAUGAACCAAGAAAUUA